UACGUAGGGGGCAAGCGUUGUCCGGAUUUAUUGGGCGUAAAGAGCGUGUAGGCGGCUAGGUAGGUCCGUUGUGAAAACUCGAGGCUCAACCUCGAGCUGUCGAUGGAAACCAUCUGGCUAGAGUCCGGAAGAGGAGAGUGGAAUUCCUGGUGUAGCGGUGAAAUGCGCAGAUAUCAGGAAGAACACCCGUGGCGAAGGCGGCUCUCUGGUACGUGACUGACGCUGAGGCGCGAAAGCGUGGGGAGCAAACAGG
rnacentral:rRNA from 1 species